rnacentral:rRNA from 1 species
UACGGGGGGGGCAAGCGUUGUUCGGAAUUACUGGGCGUAAAGGGCUCGUAGGCGGCCAACUAAGUCAGACGUGAAAUCCCUCGGCUUAACCGGGGAACUGCAUCUGAUACUGGAUGGCUUGAGUUCGGGAGAGGGAUGCGGAAUUCCAGGUGUAGCGGUGAAAUGCGUAGAUAAUCUGGAGGAACACCGGUGGCGAAGGCGGCAUCCUGGACCGACACUGACGCUGAGGAGCGAAAGCCAGGGGAGCAAACAGG